rnacentral:rRNA from 1 species
CCUACGGUGGCAGCAGUGGGGAAUAUUGGACAAUGGGCGAAAGCCUGAUCCAGCCAUGCCGCGUGUGUGAAGAAGGCCUUCGGGUUGUAAAGCACUUUCAGUGGGGAAGAAAGCCUUGGGGCUAAUACCCUCGAGGAAGGACAUCACCCACAGAAGAAGCACCGGCUAACUCCGUGCCAGCAGCCGCGGUAAUACGGAGGGUGCGAGCGUUAAUCGGAAUUACUGGGCGUAAAGCGCGCGUAGGCGGUCUGAUAAGCCGGUUGUGAAAGCCCCGGGCUCAACCUGGGAACGGCAUCCGGAACUGUCAGGCUAGAGUGCAGGAGAGGAAGGUAGAAUUCCCGGUGUAGCGGUGAAAUGCGUAGAGAUCGGGAGGAAUACCAGUGGCGAAGGCGGUCUUCUGGACUGACACUGACGCUGAGGUGCGAAAGCGUGGGUAGCAAACAGGAUUAGAUACCCUGGUAGUC